AAGUCGUAACAAGGUUUCCGUAGGUGAACCUGCGGAAGGAUCAUUAACACUUUUUAUUAUUUUGUUUUUUUUCUAAAACAAAAUUUAAAACCCCACAAUUUUGGAUGAAUUUAAUUAAUUUAUUUUUUUUUUUAUUUUUUUUUUAUUAUAACCCUAUUAUUUUGACUAACAUUUUUAUUUAAUUAUUAAAAAAUUAAAAAAACAACUCUUAACAACGGAUAUCUUGGCUCUC
rnacentral:misc_RNA from 1 species